UACAGAGGUGGCAAGCGUUGUUCGGAAUUACUGGGCGUAAAGGGCGCGUAGGCGGUCUUGUAAGUCUCGUGUGAAAUCCCUCGGCUUAACUGAGGAACUGCACGGGAUACUGCAUGACUUGAGAUCGGGAGAGGGAAGCGGAAUUCCGGGUGGAGCGGUGAAAUGCGUAGAGAUCCGGAGGAACACCAGGGGCGAAAGCGGUCGACUGGUCGAGUUCUGACACUGAGGCGCGACGGCGUGGGGAGCAAACCGG
rnacentral:rRNA from 1 species